UGAAUGGCUUGACGAGAAAUCAACUGUCUCUUAAUAAUUUUUAAAAUUUAACUUUUGAGUCAAAAGGCUUAAAUUUUUCUUUGGGACGAGAAGACCCUAUAGAGCUUAACAUUUUAUUUUUAUAUAGUUUUUAGUUGAUCUUUCUAUAUUUAAUGAUAAUGUUUUGUUGGGGUGACAUGAAGAAUAAUUAAACUCUUCAUUAUAAAAUCAUUGAUUUAUGUUUAUCAUGAUCCAUAAUUUAUGAUCAUAAGAUUAAGUUACCUUAGGGAUAACAGCGUAAUUGUUUUAGAGAGCUCAUAUCGACAAAGCAGAUUGCGACCUC
rnacentral:rRNA from 1 species